CUGAAACUAUAAGCAGAUUUCCAUUCAUAUGGAUGAAAAAUUUUGAAGGGCAUUUUGAAGAAACCGUAUUUUUGAAUGAUUGUUAUCAGAACAAUUUAAUAUUUACCACAGAUAACAAGCACUUUAACCUACAAUAUUCACAAAGAAACUCUAAAUGUCUCCUUUUGCCUUUCUUUCUUCUCCCUGUUCUUGCUGGUUUCAUCCACAACACAAACCUAUAAGCUAAGUUCAAGUCGUUUCAUCGAAUACCAUUACCUUGCCACAGACUGGGCAGCUGUCACUUCUUUCCAUCCAUUCAUAAAUACAACCAAGGUGGAAAUGGUGGGAGCAUUUAGUCACUAUUUUGGGGUUCUCUGGUGUAUAUUCUUCAAGGCA
rnacentral:misc_RNA from 1 species